rnacentral:lncRNA from 1 species
GCUUCUUUGACUCCUCUCUUCGUAACGGGGCAGCACAGGAGGGUUCCAGGGGAUGGGUCACAAAGCCCGGGGCUCCUGGAGGAACUAGCUGAGCUGGGUUCCUGUUUCGCCUGCCUUGCCGCCUGACUUCCUGACUUCAUAGUCCGUGCAGCUCAAGUAGGGCCAACAUGCCAACGAUUGCCCUCCCGAUGACACAUGGCAGGGGCUUUGCGUCAGCCUAGCUGAUAGAAUUCUCCAACUCCUUGGCCACACUGAUGGAUUAAGAGAGAGAAAAACUACCUGAGUAUUAAGCCAAGCAGAGGCAUGCAAAGAAGCAAGAGAUGAUAAACAUUAUUUGAAGUGCUGGAUCCAACUAUUCCUGAAGCUGAAAGUUGCUCAUGAACUUCCCAGUAUUAUUAUGGAUGCGAUUAGAUGGACUUUGGUCUCCUCUCUUAUCAGGAGCCCCUGUCCCUGGAAGAACUAGCAGCAGCUAAAAUAGCACCCAAGGUAGGGCCUGGGUCUUUGAAAAGAGAUAAAGGACCAAUUUUCAGAACUUGGACACAGGGAAUAAAAGUGGCAUGAUUUUGACUCAAAGACGAUGGAAAGGAACUCCUAUUCUGCGGCGGUCUGCGCUCUCUAGAGCCUGGUGGUGGGAGUGCAGCGCGAGUCCUCAGGUGGAGCUGAAGAGACCUCAGCUAGAG